rnacentral:rRNA from 1 species
GACGGACGCUGGCGGCGUGCUUAACACAUGCAAGUCGAACGGAAAGGCCCUGCUUUUGUGGGGUGCUCGAGUGGCGAACGGGUGAGUAACACGUGAGUAACCUGCCCUUGACUUUGGGAUAACUUCAGGAAACUGGGGCUAAUACCGGAUAGGAGCUCCUGCUGCAUGGUGGGGGUUGGAAAGUUUCGGCGGUUGGGGAUGGACUCGCGGCUUAUCAGCUUGUUGGUGGGGUAGUGGCUUACCAAGGCUUUGACGGGUAGCCGGCCUGAGAGGGUGACCGGCCACAUUGGGACUGAGAUACGGCCCAGACUCCUACGGGAGGCAGCAGUGGGGAAUAUUGCACAAUGGGCGGAAGCCUGAUGCAGCAACGCCGCGUGCGGGAUGACGGCCUUCGGGUUGUAAACCGCUUUCGCCUGUGACGAAGCGCGAGUGACGGUAAUGGGUAAAGAAGCACCGGCUAACUACGUG